UACGUAGGGUGCGAGCGUUGUCCGGAAUUAUUGGGCGUAAAGAGCUCGUAGGCGGUCUGUCGCGUCGGUCGUGAAAACUUGGGGCUUAACCCUGAGCUUGCGGUCGAUACGGGCAUGACUGGAGUUCGGCAGGGGGAGACUGGAAUUCCUGGUGUAGCGGUGAAAUGCGCAGAUAUCAGGAGGAACACCGGUGGCGAAGGCGGGUCUCUGGGCCGAUACUACGUGGAGGAGCGAAAGCGUGGGGAGCGAACAGG
rnacentral:rRNA from 1 species